UGGACACUGCCCACAAGGGGCAUUGUGCCACACAGUUGGGCAUAGCCCCGAAGUUAUGUUACUUUUCUGCCAGGAACUUGCCUACAAGGAGAACAUCGGAACAUUUCUGCCUCAGCAUAUAGGUUAUAUGGCUGUCAUGCCUUUCAUUACCACAGAGUAAAUUUUGACAUUUACCUAGGCACAGCUCACAGGCAUGAUAAUGACUCUCAUAUGUGGACCCCACAAGUAGGAGUAAUUUUGACUCUUGUAACUUGCUUUAGAAACAUAAGUGAUGUCUUAGAUCUCUUUCUGGCAAAAAGGUCACAGAAGAUUAUAACAGCCUCAGAUAAUUUGCAGCCCUUGGCUUGUACAGAGAGUGUCAGAACAGAACCCAGCAGAAAGGAGAAAUUGUGAGUCUCAUAUGUACACCCAGCUGACUGUAAGGACUGUCACCAUCUUACAUACAUGAAGCCAACUGUCACACAUGAAAAGAGGACAUGUGUGGUAUUGUAAAUCUCAUCUCGAAUAUUCUCUGUGUGACUGUGAUAUAAAUCUUUGCCAAGCAUCUGUGUGAUUUGACUCUCCAAACUGGUUCCAGCCCAUAUAUACGGGAUUGUGAUCUCUACCUGGGCCAACCUCUAGAUAAUGUGACUCUCCUGCCUGGGCCCUUCUCUCAGUAAGGGUUGUGACAUAUCACUGGAUCUAACACCCAGGUGAUGUUACAUUCUUGCCUGGACCAUGCACAGAGACAUCAUUGUGACAUAUCACUGUGUCCACCACUUAGGUGAUGUAACUCUCCUCUCUGGAAUGGACCCUGAAUACGGAGUGGUAGUGACAUCUUCCUAGGCCAGACACACAGGUGUUGGUACUCUUUUUCCAGGGCUAUGUUUCAAGGAGGGCAUUGUGACAUAUCUCUGGACCUAUCACCGAGGUGAUAUGACUCAACGCUUGGGCCUCACCAACGUAGAACAUUGUGACAUAAAAGUUAAACCUGCAUCAAAGGUGUUGUAACUCUUUCACCUUGGUCCUGUCCUAAGGGAGCCCUGCAACAUAUCUCAGGACCCAGCACUCAGGAACAUUGUGACAUCGUUGGACAUAGCAUCUAGGAAAUGUGACUCUUCUCUCCUGCCUAGGUCCUGCCCACUAAAGGAAUUGUGACAUACCACUGAGUGCAAAACCUAGCCCUGUCUACAGUGGACAUGGUACCAUAUGACUUGAGGCUGUAUCCAGGUGAUGUGACUCUUCUGACUUGGCCCUGCCUGCAAAGGAAAUUAUAAUGUAUCCUGAGCUCAGAAUCCAGGCGAUGAGACUCUGCUGCCUCUUUUCUGCCCACAAGUGAAAUUGUGACUUAUACCUGCGUUCAGCUCACAUGCACAAAUAUAACUAUUAUACCUGGA